GUACAACCGAGGUGCAUGGGCUGUCGCUGACCUCCAAAGGUCGUGCACGCCCAUGCGCUCUCACACAUCCAUCUCACCUUUGUGCAUCACCGCGUGGGUCCCCUUUGCAGGAGGGCUUGCGUUUUCACAUAAAACUUGAUACAGUGUAGAAUGUUUUAUUUGCGGUCACACGCAAUCAAUACAACUUUCAACAACGGAUCUCUUGGCUCU
rnacentral:misc_RNA from 1 species